rnacentral:rRNA from 1 species
UGGUACCUUGCUACUUGGAUAACCGUAGUAAUUCUAGAGCUAAUACAUGCAGGAAUUCCCGACUUCGGAAGGGAUGUAUUUAUUAGAUAAGAAACCAAACCGGUCUCCGGUUGUGUGCUGAGUCAUAAUAACUGCUCGAAUCGCACAGCUCUACGCUGGCGAUGGUUCAUUCAAAUUUCUGCCCUAUCAGCUUUCGAUGGUAGGAUAGAGGCCUACCAUGGCGUUAACGGGUAACGGAGAAUUAGGGUUCGAUUCCGGAGAGGGAGCCUGAGAAAUGGCUACCACAUCCAAGGAAGGCAGCAGGCGCGUAAAUUGCCCGAAUCCUGACACAGGGAGGUAGUGACAAGAAAUAACAAUACAGGGCUCUCUGAGUCUUGUAAUUGGAAUGAGUACAAUUUACAUCUCUUCACGAGGAUCAAUUGGAGGGCAAGUCUGGUGCCAGCAGCCGCGGUAAUUCCAGCUCCAAUAGCGUAUAUUAAAGUUGUUGCAGUUAAAACGCUCGUAGUCGGAUUUCGGGGCGGGGCCGCCGGUCUGCCGAUAGGUAUGCACUGGCGGGCGCGUCCUUUUUCCCGGAGACGGCUGCUACUCUUAACUGAGCGGUGGUCGGAGACGGGAUGUUUACUUUGAAAAAAUCAGAGUGUUUCAAGCAGGCAGUCGCUCUUGCAUGGAUUAGCAUGGGAUAAUGAAAUAGGACUCUGGUGCUAUUUUGUUGGUUUCGAGCACG